GAUGAACGCUGGCGGCGUGCCUAAUACAUGCAAGUCGAGCGAACGGACGAGAAGCUUGCUUCUCUGAUGUUAGCGGCGGACGGGUGAGUAACACGUGGAUAACCUACCUAUAAGACUGGGAUAACUUCGGGAAACCGGAGCUAAUACCGGAUAAUAUUUUGAACCGCAUGGUUCAAAAGUGAAAGACGGUCUUGCUGUCACUUAUAGAUGGAUCCGCGCUGCAUUAGCUAGUUGGUAAGGUAACGGCUUACCAAGGCAACGAUGCAUAGCCGACCUGAGAGGGGGACCGGCCAAAAUGGGACGGGGAAGCAGACCGGGAUACGACGGGAGGCCGAAGCAGGGAAGGUUCGGGAAGGGGGGAAAGCCUGACGGAGGAAAGAAGCGUGAUGAAUGAAGGGCUCGGGAUCGUAAACCUCUUUUAUUAAGGAAAAAAAAAUGUUUAAGUAACCGUGGACACUUUGACGGUACCAAAUAAGAAAGCAACGGCUAACGACG
rnacentral:rRNA from 1 species